rnacentral:rRNA from 1 species
GACGUAGGGCGCGAGCGUGUCCGGAUUUAUUGGGCGUAAAGAGCUCGUAGGCGGCUUGUCGCGUCGACUGUGAAAAUCCCGCGGCUCAACUGCGGGUCUGCAGUCGAUACGGGGCAGGCUAGAGUUCGGUAGGGGGAGACUGGAAUUCCUGGUGUAGCGGGUGAAAAUGCGCAGAUAUCAGGGAGGGAAACACCCGGGUGGGCG